rnacentral:rRNA from 1 species
CAGCAGCCGCGGGAAUACGUAGGUGGCAAGCGUUGUCCGGAAUUAUUGGGCGUAAAGGGCUCGCAGGCGGUUUCUCAAGUCUGAUGUGAAAGCCCCCGGCUCAACCGGGGAGGGUCAUUGGAAACUGGGAAACUUGAGUGCAGAAGAGGAGAGUGGAAUUCCAUGUGUAGCGGUGAAAUGCGUAGAGAUGUGGAGGAACACCAGUGGCGAAGGCGACUCUCUGGUCUGUAACUGACGCUGAGGAGCGAAAGCGUGGGGAGCGAACAGGAUUAGAGACCCCCGUAGUCCCUGUCUCUUAUAC